UCAGGGAUGAUGGGAAUUGUAGUCCAAAAACAGCUGGAGGCCCAAGUUUGGGAAACCCUGCUCUAGAGCUAUGUCACAUCCACACUUGGGUCUCCAGCUGUUUUUGGACUGCAAUUCCCAUCAUCCCUGAC